rnacentral:rRNA from 1 species
ACGGCAGCACAGAAGAGCUUGCUCUUUGGGUGGCGAGUGGCGGACGGGUGAGUAAUGUCUGGGAAACUGCCCGAUGGAGGGGGAUAACUACUGGAAACGGUAGCUAAUACCGCAUAACGUCGCAAGACCAAAGUGGGGGACCUUCGGGCCUCACACCAUCGGAUGUGCCCAGAUGGGAUUAGCUAGUAGGUGGGGUAAUGGCUCACCUAGGCGACGAUCCCUAGCUGGUCUGAGAGGAUGACCAGCCACACUGGAACUGAGACACGGUCCAGACUCCUACGGGAGGCAGCAGUGGGGAAUAUUGCACAAUGGGCGCAAGCCUGAUGCAGCCAUGCCGCGUGUAUGAAGAAGGCCUUCGGGUUGUAAAGUACUUUCAGCGGGGAGGAAGGCGGUGAGGUUAAUAACCUUGCCGAUUGACGUUACCCGCAGAAGAAGCACCGGCUAACUCCGUGCCAGCAGCCGCGGUAAUACGGAGGGUGCAAGCGUUA